rnacentral:rRNA from 1 species
UCUGCGGCCUAUCAGGUAGUAGUGGGUGUAGCGUACCUACUAGCCUACGACGGGUACGGGUUGUGAGAGCAAGAGCCCGGAGAUGGAUUCUGAGACACGAAUCCAGGCCCUACGGGGUGCAGCAGGCGCGAAAACUUUACAAUGCUGGCAACAGCGAUAAGGGAACCUCGAGUGCCAGGUUACAAAUCUGGCUGUCGAGAUGCCUAAAAAGCAUUUCAUAGCAAGGGCCGGGCAAGACCGGUGCCAGCCGCCGCGGUAACACCGGCGGCUCGAGUGGUAACCGUUAUUAUUGGGUCUAAAGGGUCUGUAGCCGGCCGGAUAAGUCUCUUGAGAAAUCUGGCAGCUUAACUGUCAGGCUUUCAGGAGAUACUGUCUGGCUCGAGGCCGGGAGAGGUGAGAGGUACUUCAGGGGUAGGGGUGAAAUCUUGUAAUCCUUGAAGGACCACCAGUGGCGAAGGCGUCUCACCAGAACGGACCUGACGGCAAGGGACGAAAGCUAGGGGCACGAACCGGAUUAGAUACCCGGGUAGUCCUAGCCGUAAACGAUACUCGCUAGGUGUCGGCCACGGUGCGACCGUUGUCGGUGCCGUAGGGAAGCCGUGAAGCGAGC